UCAAAUCACUCUAAGACUCCCACAUCUAGCAGAAACCAUCCCUACUCUGCCAUACUCAUGCCAUACAGCACCAGCAAAAUCCCACCCAGGAUGGCUAUUGCUAAGCAAUGUGAUCACAUCACCUUACACUUUUAUGACUGCAUAGUUAACAAUAGGGACUCUAUUCCCAAUUACCAUCAUUGACAAGGACUAUCUGUAGUGAAGUUUUAGAAUUUGAUCAUGUGACAUCCAUGGCUGCCUCCAUUGUUAACUAUCUCCAUAGCAAUGGAUUACAACACAAGACAUUUCAAGCAUGUCUUCAAGAAGCAGAAUAUAAUGGCUUAAUUUCUCACAUGGAAAUAAGAUGGCUGAGUCGAGGAUGCAUAUUUUAGAAUUUCAUUACUAUAAAAGACGAAGUAACAAAAUUUAUAGCAAAUGAACUGAGAAAAUUCAAAGACCUUGAAGAUGAAGAAUGGAACUAUGACUUUUCUUUUGUGAUGUCUCAACUCAUAUAAAUAAUGUGAAUCUGCAGCUUCAAAGAAAAUACUGUAUCAAUUCAUCUUUAAAAUGUAUGAUUCAAUAAAAGCAUUUAAAAUGAGAUUGUUAUUUUUUCAAAGGAUAUUGAAAAGAGCUUUGAAAAGGAUCUUUCCUACUUGUACUCAGCAUAUUCCUAAUGCAAGCUCACUGAGAUAUACAUCUGGAACUGCUGGAUGACCUCGUGGUGGAAGGUCUUAUACCCAGGGGGAGGAGUCAGGAGAUAACAGACCAAAACCUGGGAGGUGCUGAUGAGAAUAGCAGAUCUAGCAAAAUUAUCUGUUUACCACUUUGGAUGGUGAGAGACAAAUUAAAUAUUGCAUUGACAACAGA